AAGCUACUCCCUCCGUUCCAAAUUACUCGUCACAGAAAUAGAUGUAUCUAGAACUAAAAUACAUCUAGAUACAUUCAUACCUGCGACAAGUAAUUCGGAACGGAGGGAGUAGAUC
rfam:Triticum aestivum genome assembly, contig: Triticum_aestivum_CS42_TGACv1_scaffold_019118_1AS